rnacentral:rRNA from 1 species
GACGAACGCUGGCGGCGUGCUUAACACAUGCAAGUCGAACGAAGAGCGAUGGAAGCUUGCUUCUAUCAAUCUUAGUGGCAAACGGGUGAGUAACGCGUAAUCAACCUGCCCUUCAGAGGGGGACAACAGUUGGAAACGACUGCUAAUACCGCAUACGAGCUAACCUCGGCAUCGAGGAUAGAUGAAAGGUGGCCUCUACAUGUAAGCUAUCACUGAAGGAGGGGAUUGCGUCUGAUUAGAUAGUUGGAGGGGUAACGGCCCACCAAGGCGAUGAUCAGUAGCCGGUCUGAGAGGAUGAACGGCCACAUUGGGACUGAGACACGGCCCAGACUCCUACGGGAGGCAGCAGUGGGGAAUCUUCCGCAAUGGACGAAAGUCUGACGGAGCAACGCCGCGUGAGUGAGGACGGCCUUCGGGUUGUAAAGCUCUGUUAAUCGGGACGAAAGGCCUUCUUGCGAAUAGUGAGAAGGAUUGACGGUACCGGAAUAGAAAGCCACGGCUAACUACGUG